AAAUCGCACCAUUUUUCUCGUGCUCUCUUGCGUGCGUUCGGCUUGCAAAAACAGUUAAUUGCAAAUCGAAAACCGCAUAAAUUUAUUAAACUAGUGCAUUAAAUAGUUUAUAAAACAAGAGUGCUAUGCGAACAAGCCAACGCGAGUAGUUAGUGCAAAAUUCAAUUGCGAAAAUCGGCUGUAGUGUGUAACUGUGUAUGUGCGUGUGGUGCGUAUGUGUGUGCGUGUGCAAGAAAAAAUGAGGCGUAGUGAAAAUGCGUGCGAAAAUGUCUAAAAGCUGUUUAUGACAUCAAAACAAACGCAACAGCCAAAAGGCAGCGGAUCACAAAGUGCAAUUACAACAGGCCCUGAGCUUAACAACAACAAAGCCCAUUAAAUAAUAAUUAUAAUAAAGAAAUAGUGAUGAACGCGCGCGCCAAUUUAAAGCUGACCGGUUAGAUUUUACUUAACAAAUACAACUACUCGUACGCAGUGUCGUUGUUGUCGUUGCAUUAGCUAAAAAAGAGGAACUUUUCCAAAAAUUGAGAACACGCCCACAGGAAAAGGGAAGAAACACCUCUGUGUGAAUAUAAAAAAGUAGAAAAAUAUGUCACUUUGACUUGGGCGAAGUAUACAAAAAAAAUAUAUAUAGGCAGCAUAUAUAUACAAAAGCAUCGCUUUAAAUUUGUGAGAAAAAAUGUGCAAAAGUGUGUUUGUCAAAUUGUUUAGCCAAAAUUAUUUGUUUACAUAGUACCUAAAACUGCCUCAAUUGAGUUUCGUUCGCUUUACUUUCAUUCGCCUCCAAACAACAACAACUACAGCAGCCACAACAAAAACUUCACAUAGAUUUUUCGACGUUGACGACAAGCAUAGUGUUGUCGAGUUAAAUAAAAUAACAAAAUAUAUAUUUUUUUUCAUACCACCCCAAAAAAAUACAAAAACCAAACAAAAACUAAAAACAAAGAAAUGCUGCUCAAAUUGUAUAUUUGAUGUCAAACAAUAGCACAGCCGCCACAACAACAGCAACUGUAGCAAGGAACAAGAACAGUUACACACUGGAACAACAGCAAUUAGAACAACUAGAACAAGAACAACAGGAACAACAGCAACGGCAACAGCAACAGCUAAACCAAAAGCAACAAUUGUAAUUAAAGCAAGCACUAAGGCUCAGACGCUGUCCUCGCAUCCGCUGGUGAAAACCCUUGACCCUCAAUCGAGUGCUCCGAAGCUUGUCUCUCACACUCUCCCUUGUAUGCAUUGGAAGACGCAUGCGCGGCAUGCGUGGACUUUAACAGUUCAACAACGACAAC